rnacentral:rRNA from 1 species
GGGCUCCAAAGUCGGGCUCUUCACCCUUUGUGACAUACCCAACUGUUGCUUCGGCGGGUCGGGGCGCCCUCCCGGGGGCGCCCCCCAGGCCCGGCCCCUCCCGGGGCCGAGCGCCCGCCGGAGGAUCACCCAACUCUAUUUUAACGACGUUUCUUCUGAGUGGCACAAGCAAAUAAUUAAAACUUUUAACAACGGAUCUCUUGGUUCUGGCAUCGAUGAAGAACGCAGCGAAAUGCGAUAAGUAAUGUGAAUUGCAGAAUUCAGUGAAUCAUCGAAUCUUUGAACGCACAUUGCGCCCGCCAGCAUUCUGGCGGGCAUGCCUGUUCGAGCGUCAUUUCAACCCUCAAGCCCGGCUUGGUGUUGGGGCACUACGGUCGACGUAGGCCCUUAAAGGUAGUGGCGGACCCUCCCGGAGCCUCCUUUGCGUAGUAACUAACGUCUCGCAUCGGGAUCCGGAGGGACUCCUGCCGUAAAACCCCCACACUUUUUCUGGUUGACCUCGGAUCAGGUAGGAAUACCCGCUGAACUUAACCAAAUCAAUAAGCAGAGGAAGGGA